rnacentral:rRNA from 1 species
UAACCUGGUUGAUCCUGCCAGUAGUCAUAUGCUUGUCUCAAAGAUUAAGCCAUGCAUGUCUAAGUAAAAACUAAAUUAUGGUGAAACUGCAAAUGGCUCAUUACAACGGUUAUGAUGUACCCGGGAUUUCCGAUGGAUAUUUCCAGUAACACUAGAGCUAAUACAUGUAACUGCGUUUAUUAGUUUCAAACAAAUCUGUCGCUGAGUCAUGGUAAACGGUUGAUCGACUCGACGUCCCGGAACAGUUUCCGCCCCAUCAGCUUCGAUGGUUGGGUAUUGGCCUACCAUUGCAACAACGGGUAACGAGGAAUUAGGGUUUGAUUUCGGAGAGGGAGCCUGAGAAACGGCUACCACAUCUACGGAUGGCAGCAGGCGCGCAAAUUACCCAAUGCAGACACUGUGAGGUAGUGACGAGAAUAAUAAAGCGGGACUUCUGUUUCGCUAUUAUAAUGAGGAAUAACCAAAGGUCAUUCCGAUUAGCAACUGAUGGGAAAGUCUGGUGCCAGCAGCCGCGGUAAUACCAGCGUCAGUAGCAUAUAUUAAAAUUGUUGCAGUUAAAACGUCCGUAGUCUGUACGUCGUCCCAAACUCACUGCAGUCUUCCGUUUUCUUAAUUGAAUGCGGUAGUUUCUGCAGUCACUCCCUUGAUCAAAUUAGGUUGUUCAAGGUAGACCAAGUCUUCAUAUUUUCACAUGGAAUUGGGUGAGGGAACUUAAGAGUUUAAGUUUCUCGUCUUAGGAUCAUCCGGGGUCAUUCGUACUCGUCCGCGAGAGGUGAAAUUCUUGGACCGGACGAAGACGACCAGCAGCGAAAGCAUCUGUCAGGGAUGUUUUCUGCGACAAAGGACGAAGGUCAGGGUAUCGAAGACGAUUAGAUACCGUCGUAGUCCUGACUGUAAACUAUGCCAACUUGGGUCUUGCUGGGCGAUGCUUUGUGAGACCCACACAGAAAUGAAAGUGUAUGGGUUCUGGGGGUAGUAUGGACACAAGUCUGAAACUUGAAGGAAUUGACGGAAGAGCACCAUAAGACGUGGAGCUUGCGGCUUAAUUUGACUCAACGCGGGAAAACUUACCAGGUCAAGACAUGGGCGUGAUUGACAGGCUAAUGACUUUUCUCGAUUCCAUGGAUGGUGGUGCAUGGUCGCACUUAGUUGGUGCAGUGAUUUGUCAGGUUUAUUCCGGUAACGAACGAGACCUCAACCU